UGGGGGAUAUUGCACAAUGGGCGCAAGCCUGAUGCAGCCAUGCCGCGUGUGUGAAGAAGGCCUUCGGGUUGUAAAGCACUUUCAGCGGGGAGGAAGGCGAUAAGGUUAAUAACCUUGUCGAUUGACGUUACCCGCAGAAGAAGCACCGGCUAACUCCGUGCCAGCAGCCGCGGUAAUACGGAGGGUGCAAGCGUUAAUCGGAAUUACUGGGCGUAAAGCGCACGCAGGCGGUCUGUCAAGUCGGAUGUGAAAUCCCCGGGCUUAACCUGGGAACUGCAUUCGAAACUGGCAGGCUAGAGUCUUGUAGAGGGGGGUAGAAUUCCAGGUGUAGCGGUGAAAUGCGUAGAGAUCUGGGGGAAUACCGGUGGCGAAGGCGGCCCCCUGGACAAAGACUGACGCUCAGGUGCGAAAGCGUGGGGAGCAAACAGG
rnacentral:rRNA from 1 species